GGGGAAGCAAUUUUCUAUAACCACCCACACCUAUUUAAAGGCAGACCUCAUUUUAGAGGAAGUGCUUGUAGAAGGUUCUGUUUUCCAAUAGGAGGGUCAAUUUUUUUGUCUUCUCCACCUUGAUCCUGCUGCUGCCAUCUCUGUAAAACCAACUAGAAGAGUGGAAGGGUGUUCCAGACAUUGCUGUAGGAGAGUUCUUAGCAUGGGCCACAGACACAGCAAGUGGUCAGUACAUGCCAAGCAGAAAAAUCUUUGCAUUUCUCAUGAGAAGUACACAGAAGUAAUGGAAUCCAAAUGUUCUCUUUGGGAGCGAAGGUCAUCAGAUGCUUCAGUGUGGAUUAGUGAAAGCAAUUCUGUAAUAUUGGUGGGAGAAGUGACCAGGCAGUUCACAGAUGAUCAGACUAGCCUACUGAUUCCAGAGGCAUUGCCUGCUCAAGUCACUGAAGCUGAACUUGAUGAUACCCUCUCUACUGCUAGGAUGGAACAAAGAACUGGUGAGACACAAGAGAUGCUUGAGGCAGGGAGUGAUGAACAGGGGCCACCAGAUCUGGAAUGGUCAUCUCCUGCAGAAGAUAUGAAGGCUCUGCCUAAAAAGAGGUCCCUACAGGAAGGAGAAACGUUGCUCUUAAAGCCAGGUGAACAGUCUGUUCUACAGGCAGCAGAAUGUGCUAGUGGAGAUGUAGCUGAAGAGACCAAAAUGGCAAAGCGGACAACCUGGAAUCUGGAAGAGCAAACCACCACAGAACUGGAAAAGCACACCACUGCUGUGUAUGAGGAAAGAGUGACCAAGAAUGUAAUACUUAAUGCUGUAGAAGGUUUAGAAAAUGCUGAGGCUCCACAGAGCAGGGAAGUCAAAAAACCAGACCCCCCAAAGAAACCAUCAAGGCAUACUGGGUGGCACAGAUCGCUGAGGAAUCUCCAGUGUCUGAACUAAGGGAAAAUGUGGAUGAUCCUAGAAUGGAAGCCCAGGGGAACCUCCAAACCACAAAAGAUACUGCCUAUAUCCAGCCUUCUGCAGAGAGGGAAGAUGCAUAGACUUCAUGCGAAUAACUCCAACCUGCUUUCAAAAGCAUUUCCAUGAUCUAGCACAAAUGACACAAGAUAGUUCCCUUAAAACUGAUGGACAAUGAUAGCUCAGAGGUUGGUGGUGGUGAGACUGCUAGGUAAAAUAUAUGUAAGACUGAGAUCCAGACUGUGGUACAAUGAGUUUAAAAGGCACCCCACCCAAAGCAGGAAGUUCACAGCAGCAAAAAAGAUUAAAUCCAAACACAUCUGGCAGCCUUCCCUGACCUCUUGGGUGCAAAGUCUCAUUGGAAUAACUCUCUUCUGCCACUCUAUACUGCCAGCUUCUCACUCAGCACUGUACCUUGUUGAGUAAAUUGAUGAGGGCUUCCAGAUUUUGUGUGCAACUUGUUUUCUCUUGAGGAUUGUUUCUCUCCCCACUGCCAUUGUUCUUCCUGACACAAGGGACAUACCAGGCUGAAGAAGACUCCUAACCUCCUAAAGUGUAGCAGACCAGGCCAUGGAAAAAGGACUUAAGGAAUGUCUCCUUGAAAGCAUCUUGCAGAAGGAACGGCAGUACUAAUCUAGUAAUUCUGUUGGUGACAUUCUAGUUUUGAUAACUCCAUCUCUGUUCACAUUUAAUGGCAUCAUGGUUCUCUUUUUGACUUCCUGUUGUUUCUAAGGAAUGUGGGUUUUCUUGGCAUCCAUGGCUGCAGCUUAAAGCCUGACAUGUCUCCUUUUAUGCCAUGUCUGUCACUUUACAUGAAGCUUCCAGCUGACUGCAUUUCUGAUUGCAUCAUGAAGGUCUGACUGCAAUUUCUGCCUUGUAGAGCAUGGACUUCUUCCUUCAGCCAAAGCUCACCCAUGCCUGCCUUCAUGCUGGGUGCAAAGGGUGGACUCCAGGAGCGGACACAAGGGUCUGAGGGGUGAAGUACAUGGACAUGAACUCUGUUUCUAAUCUUAACUUUGUUUCUCUCUGGUUCAGGAAAAGCUGCAGCCACCUCAAAGUGCUCUUCUCUUCAGAGCCCUAAAAUCCAGCAUAUGGAUCUGUUGUGUUGCACAUCAAGAUGAUGAAGUUGACUUGUAUACAGAUUCUCCCCGCACACACUACCGCCUUCUGCAAUCUGUAGAGCCUAACAAGAUGUUUGUUCAGUAUGGUCUAACUUUUAUCAGGGUAGCCAGGGGAACUAAACUGGAAUGGUAAACCAGGUGCUUUAAACUGAAUUACUAUAACUUUCUGUACUAAACGAAGAUCCCGUUCUCAUGACCCAACGAGGGGUGUUCAGCCAAGCUUCGAGCCCUGUGUUUCUUCACAAGAACCAGUCAUGUGCUGGCACAAAUUGAGAUACGAGGUGCAGAAAGUGACUGUGUGCUAGCUGUAAUCUGGGGCAGGAAGGGGCAGAUCAUGUUCUUCCUCCACCCUUGAUACAACUCUGGGUAAACAAUUGUUGGCUGUCCCCGUCCUACCCAGAUUGCAGCUAACACAUGAUCACUUCACCUCCCUCCUACUUCAAUCUUACUGACACAUGACUAGUUCUUAGAAGUGUGCAUGCAGCUUACAUCCCGACUGGAUGUUCCUACCCAGCUUUUGAGAACAAGCCCUACAUUUAGCUGUCCUCUUUGUAAGCUGAAUUGGACUAUUUUAUUCUUAAUACACGGACAGCUUGGAGGACACGCUUGGACUAGUUCAUCCCACACAAUAAUGGAUGUGAGCCCUUUCUGCCUCCUUCCUGGGAUACCACUACCUGUCUGUAGUGGGGGUCAUCUGAAUUGCCCCUCCAUUCACUACUUUAAAGUAUGGAAAACUUGAAACAAUGGCAUACAGGGAAAGUGGAAGGGCAUGAGUACUCACAACCCUAACUGUGGGGCAGGGCAGAUCCAAGAGUGAAUUGGGCCAAUGAGAAUUUUAAAUGCACAACCCAUCAAAAAGCACAACAUUAAUUGAUCUUCUGCCUGUCUUUUGUGGAAGAAACUUCCCUCUGGCUCACCGCUGAUGUGUCCUUGAAGACUUCUGUUCUUGCUCUGUAGGAUGAAAUGACUUUUUUAUGUUGAUAACCACUAGGAGAAUUCAGUCUUGUUCAAGAUCCAGCUGAGUAUCUGGUAUUUGUAACCGGCCUGAACUGACUUGAAAUGGAGCUUUAAAAAAAUUUCUCAAUAAACGCAUUUUAGACAUCUUC